rnacentral:rRNA from 1 species
GAUGAACGCUGGCGGCGUGCCUAAUACAUGCAAGUCGAGCGAACGGACGCGAAGCUUGCUUCUCUGAUGUUAGCGGCGGACGUGUGAGUAACACGUGGAUAACCUACCUAUAAGACUGGGAUAACUUCGGGAAACCGGAGCUAAUACCGUAUAAUAUUUUGAACCGCAUGGUUCAAAAGUUCAAGACGGUCUUGCUGUCACUUAUAGAUGGAUCCGCGCUGCAUUAGCUAGUUGGUAAGGUAACGGCUUACCAAGGCAACGAUGCAUGGCCGACCUGAGAGGGUGAAGGGGUACACUGGAACUGAGACACGGUCCAGAGGCCUACGGGAGGCAGAGGUAGGGAAGCUUCGGAACUGGGGGAAAGCCUGAAGGAGCAGCGCCGGGUGAGUGCUGAAGGUCUUCGGGUCGUAAGACUCUGUUAUUGGGGAAGAACAUAUGUGGAAGUAACUGUGCACAUCGUGACGGUACCUAAUCAGAAAGCCACGGCUAACUACGUG